UGGGGAAUAUUGGGCAAUGGGCGAAAGCCUGACCCAGCAAUGCCGCGUGCAGGACGAAGUCCUUCGGGAUGUAAACUGCUGUCAGGGGUCCGCAAGCGAAGGGGUCCAACAGGCCCUGGAGUUGAGCAGCCCCAGAGGAAGCCUCGACUAACUCUGUGCCAGCAGUCGCGGUAUGACAGAGGAGGCAAGCGUUGUUCGGAAUCACUUGGCUUAAAGCGCGUGUAUGCGGCUUAGAAAGUGUCGUGUGAAAUCCCGCGGCUCAACCGCGGAACUGCACGGCAAACUACUUGGCUUGAGGUCGGUAGAGGUGCCUGGAACUCUAGGUGGAGCGGUGAAAUGCGUAGAUAUCUAGAGGAACGCCAGAAGCGAAAGCGGGGCACUGGGCCGAUUCUGACGCUGAGACGCGAAAGCGUGGGGAGCAAACA
rnacentral:rRNA from 1 species